CUCAGAAACAUUCCGCCCACACCCUAGCCCCUCCGGGGCUCUCUCCUACUCUCCCAGCUCUUAUCAGGGUAUUUUUCAAAGUAAAUCCAUUUCCCUUUCUAGGGGGAAUUCUGGUGCCAACUAUUAAAAUAACCUUCCUCUGCUUUGUUACACGUGAUGCACCACUUUUCAUCUUGGGGCCGCUUGGGAUGGACAGCAGGAGGUUCCGUGUACUUUAGAGCUUGGAGUUAAGAAGUCGACUCAGGAGUAUGAUCCAUGCACAACAGAGAAAUCCUACUGAAAACUGCAAAUGCCAGAUGCCCAGCCCAUUCUUCGAAGAAAGCAAUGGCACCCCACUCCAGUACUUCUGCCUGGAAAAUCCCGUGGACGGAGAAGCCUGGUAGGCUGCAGUCCAUGGGGUUGCUGAGGGUCGGACACAACUGAGCGACUUCACUUUCACUUUUCACUUUCAUGCAUUGGAGAAGGAAAUGGUAACCCACUCCAGUGUUCUUGCCUGGAGAAUCCCAGGGAUGGGGGAGCCUGGUGGGCUGCUGUCUAUGGGGUCACACAGAGUCGGAG
ensembl:lncRNA